CACGCCCUAAACGAUGUCAACUAGGUGUUGGAAGGGUUAAACCUUUUAGUGCCGUAGCUAACGCGUGAAGUUGACCGCCUGGGGAGUACGGCCGCAAGGCUAAAACUCAAAGGAAUUGACGGGGACCCGCACAAGCGGUGGAUGAUGUGGAUUAAUUCGAUGCAACGCGAAAAACCUUACCUACCCUUGACAUGUCAGGAAUCCCGGAGAGAUUUGGGAGUGCUCGAAAGAGAACCUGAACACAGGUGC
rnacentral:rRNA from 2 species